rnacentral:rRNA from 1 species
GACGAACGCUGGCGGCGUGCUUAACACAUGCAAGUCGAACGGAAAGGCCCUGCUUUUGUGGGGUGCUCGUGUGGCGAACGGGUGGGUAACACGUGAGUAACCUGCCCUUUACUUUGGGAUAACUUCAGGAAACUGGGGCUAAUACCGGAUAGGUGCUCCUGCCGCCUUGUGGGGGUUGUAAAGUUUCGGCGGUUGGGGAUGGACUCGCGGGUUAUCAGCUUGUUGGGUGGGUAGUGGCUUACCAAGGCUUUGACGGGUAGCCGGCCUGCGAGGUUGACCGGCCACAUGGGGACUAAGAGAGGGCCCAGACGCGAACGGUAGGCAGUGGUGGGGAAUAUGGCAGAAUGGGGGGAAGCGAGAGGCAGAAGCGCCGCGUGCGGGAUGACGGCUUUCGGGUUGUAAACCGAUGUCGCCGGUGACGAAGCGUGAGUGACGGUAAUGGGUAAAGAAGCACCGGCUAACUACGUG